rnacentral:rRNA from 1 species
GUUGAUCCUGCGGGAGGUUGCUGCUAUGAGGAUUCGACUAAGCCAUGCAAGUCUGAUAUUUAUUUAUCGGCAGAAUGCUCAGUAACACGUCGCUAAUUUGCCCUGUGGUCGUUGAUAACUUCGGGAAACUGAGGGUAAACAACGGUAGAAGAAUCUGCCUGGAAUGGUAUUUCUUCAAAACUCGCGCCGCAGGAUAAGACGGCGGCCGAUUAGGUUGAUGGUGGUGUAAUGGACCACCAUGCCGAUGAUCGGUACGGGCCUUGAGAGAGGUAGCCCGGAGAGGGACACUGAGAAACUGGUCCCAGCCCUACGGGGUGCAGCAGGCGCGAAACCUUUACAAUGCACGCAAGUGUGAUAAGGGAAUCCUCAGUGCUCAUACAUUGUAUGGGCUUUUGUUAAACGUAAAUAGUUUAGCGAAUAAGUGGUGGGUAAGACUGGUGCCAGCCGCCGCGGUAACACCAGCGCCACGAGUGGCAACCACGUUUAUUGGGCCUAAAGCGUCCGUAGCCGGUUAGGUAAAUCUCUUGUGAAAUCGUCACGCUUAACGUGACGGCGUGCUCGAGACACUGCCUAACUCGAGACCGGGAGGAGUCAGAGGUAUUCCAGGGGGAGCGGUAAAAUGUGAUAAUCCCUGGAGGAUCACCUAUGGCGAAGGCAUCUGACCAGAACGGAUCUGACGGUGAGGGACGAAGGCUAGGGGAGCGAUCCGGAUUAGAUACCCGAGUAGUCCUAGCAGUAAACGCUGCGAGCAAGAUGUUGCGCUUCUUAAGAGGAUGCGCAGUGCCGAAGAGAAGUCGUUAAGCUCGCCGCCUGGGAAGUACGGUCGCAAGACUGAAACUUUAAGGAAUUGGCGGGGGAGCACCACCAGGGGUGCGGCGUGCGGUUUAAUCUAACUCAACACAGAGAACCUUACUAGAAGCGACGGCAGGAAGAAGGCCAGCCUGAAGGGCUUGCCUGACGAGCCGAGAGGUAGUGCAUGGCCGCCGUCAGCUCGUGCCGUAAGGUGUCCAGUUAAGUCUGGCAACGAGCGAGACCUAUACCCUCUAUUGCUAACGGCCACAUGUGGGACCGAGCACUUUGAGGGGACUGCCUUGGAAACAAGGAGGAAGGUGUAGGCAACGGUGGUCUGUAUGCUCCGAAUCUUCUAGGCUACACGCGCGCAACAAUGGUAAUGACAAUGGGCUGCAACUCCGAAAGGAGAAGCUAAUCCUCUAAACAUUACCUCAGUUCGGAUCGCGGAUUGUAACUCAUCCGCGUGACGCCGGAAUCCCUAGUAACCAGAGUUCAUCAAAUUCUGGUGAAUAUGUCCCUGCUCCUUGCACACACCGCCCGUCAAAUCAACCGAGCAGGAUUUUGGUAAAAUUUACUUUCUUGAGUAAAUUGAACCUGAGUUCAGUGAGGCGGAUUAAGUCGUCACAAGGUA